GCGGAGGGAUCAUUACACAAAUAUGAAGGCGGGCUGGAACCUCUCGGGGUUACAGCCUUGCUGAAUUAUUCACCCUUGUCUUUUGCGUACUUCUUGUUUCCUUGGUGGGUUCGCCCACCACUAGGACAAACAUAAACCUUUUGUAAUUGCAAUCAGCGUCAGUAACGAAUUAAUAAUUACAACUUUCAACAACGGAUCUCUUGGUUCUGGCA
rnacentral:misc_RNA from 1 species